rnacentral:rRNA from 1 species
UACGGGGGGAGCAAGCGUUGUUCGGAUUUACUGGGCGUAAAGGGCGCGUAGGCGGCCACCGCAAGUCGACUGUGAAAUCUCCGGGCUUAACCCGGAAAGGUCAGCCGAUACUGCGGGGCUAGAGUGCAGAAGGGGCAACUGGAAUUCUCGGUGUAGCGGUGAAAUGCGUAGAUAUCGAGAGGAACACCUGCGGCGAAGGCGGCUCACUGGCCCGGUACUGACGCUGAGGUGCGAAAGCGUGGGGAGCAAACAGG